CGGCGAGCUAGGAGAAUGAAGUGCUGUGUUAUCUCCGCUGGCCUGGUUGUUCUUCUGAUCUUCAUCAUAAUCAUCUCAGUUUCCAUCAAGAAAUAAACUCACCAGAUUCACAGAUGCAUCUCAAAACAGGUGAGGAACGUGUGCCAGAAGGUGGAAGAUAUCCAGGGAAGAAAUUUCAAACUUGAUCAGGUUUCUGAGCUGUCGUGUGGGAAAAUAUUUUCUGGCACCCCUCUUUGGACAUAUAUGGUUACCUGUUCGAGAAUGCACCCAUAAUAACCGCCCAAUUUUUCAGACAGCAAAUAAAGUAAUAUUCAGCAAGGGAAACAUGGAACACUGUCAUUUUUAUAGCUAAUAUCCCUCAGUUUACAGUAGCCUGGAGAUGCAUUUAUGAAAUCACACUCAGAAUUAUUUUACCCUAUAAAACCCAGUUUGCACUGAUGGGAACUAAACAUUCCAUGUCUGACAAUUGGUUUUAAAAUCAUCAAAUUCUCAUCUCCGUCACCUCAACCCUACCUUACUUCAGUAAAUGAUUGUUAACUCCA